rnacentral:rRNA from 1 species
GUAACAAGGUUUCCGUAGGUGAACCUGCGGAAGGAUCAUUACCGAGAGAGGGGCCUCGCGCUCCCGGGGGCUUCGGCCUCCAACUCUUCACCCGCUGCCUAUCUACCUUUGUUGCUUUGGCGGGCCGUGGGGUUCGCCUCCCGUUGGCCCUCGGGCCGGCGAGCGCCCGUCAGAGGCCCUUGAAAUUCUGUUUGAAACAUGAUGUCCGAGCAAAACAUGAAUUGUAAAAACUUUCAACAACGGAUCUCUUGGUUCCAGCAUCGAUGAAGAACGCAGCGAAAUGCGAUAAGUAAUGUGAAUUGCAGAAUUCAGUGAAUCAUCGAAUCUUUGAACGCACAUUGCGCCCCUCGGCAUUCCGGGGGGCAUGCCUGUUCGAGCGUCAUUACACCCCUCAAGCCUAGCUUGGUAUUGGGUCUUCGCCCCCCGGGCGUGCCCGAAAAGCAGUGGCGGUCCGGUGUGACUUUAAGCGUAGUAAAAUCCACCCCGCUUUGAAAGUUCGCCCCGCGGCCGGCCAGAAACUCCAAAUUUAUUUCAUAAUUGACCUCGGAUCAGGUAGGGAUACCCGCUGAACUUAAGCAUAUC